rnacentral:tRNA from 1 species
GGCUGGUUAGCUCAGUUAGUUGAGCGUAGCGCUAACAACGCUAACAACGCUAAGGUCGCGGGUUCUAUUCCCGUUUAGUCC